rnacentral:lncRNA from 1 species
CAGGAAGUGGGAGCCACAUACCCCGAGCUGGCGGCUUGAGCCUGUGGUAUCUAGGCUCACCUCACUGCGGUUGGUGGAGGUGAUGGAGGUUGCAGCUUGGCCAGCAUGGUAGAAAGGUGGCAGGGCACGUCUGGCUUUUACCACCCAGUUGCUUCGAGCCAGGAGAUGGAGGAGUCAUCUGUUGCACGCUGGAGGCUGGAGCCUGCAGAUGGCAUGGUUCUGUGGCUCACCUCGCUGCAGUUGGUGGCAGAGACAGAGACUGCAGCUUGACCAGAGUGGUGGAGUGAUAUGUAUCUCAAGAGCACUCCACAACAAAGAUUCUGCCUGCAAUCCUCCACUUCAAGGUCUGUUCCAGGAAACCUGUGUAACACAGUUAUGCAUAGAGUGGUCUUAGGAAGCUGACUCUAACAUGAAAAUUUAGAGUUGGAUCUUUUGCUGACAUAUUGAAUAUUCAUAAGAGCAUAUGAUACAUUUGUCUAUCAUAAACAUGUCAUUUCAAAAAACCCUCAAAGUUGCCUUGUAGAACAUAAUUUUAAAACUAGUGUGUAGGAAUAUUUCAUAUCAGUUAUUCAGUCUUCUUAAUAUCUGAACCGAAAUUAAUCUUCCAUUCUGCUUUUAUUUAUAAAUAAUGAUUUAUUGUCAGAUUCAAUAAUUUAUAUUUUCAUUUAUUCUAAGGUAGGAAAUACCAGCAUAAAAAUAAAUUAUUUGAAACAAAUCACAUUGUUGUCCCAUU